rnacentral:rRNA from 1 species
GACGAACGCUGGCGGCGUGCUUAACACAUGCAAGUCGAACGGAAAGGCCCUGCUUUUGUGGGGUGCUCGAGUGGCGAACGGGUGAGUAACACGUGAGUAACCUGCCCUUGACUUUGGGAUAACUUCAGGAAACUGGGGCUAAUACCGGAUAGGAGCUCCUGCUGCAUGGUGGGGGUUGGAAAGUUUCGGCGGUUGGGGAUGGAUUCGCGGCUUAUCAGCUUGUUGGUGGGGUAGUGGCUUACCAAGGUUUUGACGGGUAGCCGGCCUGAGAGGGUGACCGGCGACAUGGGGACUGAGAUACGGCCCAGACGCCUACGGGAGGCAGCAGGGGGGAAUAUUGCACAAUGGGCGGAAGCCUGAUGCAGCAACGCCGCGUGCGGGAUGACGGCCUUCGGGUUGUAAACCGCUGUCGCCUGUGACGAAGCGUGAGUGACGGUAAUGGGUAAAGAAGCACCGGCUAACUACGUG